rnacentral:lncRNA from 1 species
AUGAGGAGGCAGAGGUGGGAACUGGGCAAAAAACGCCAGAAAAAUUGUGGAGUUUGGGAAUUCCAGGUGGGAAGGCACCAGGAAGUGUCAGGAAGGGAAUUUUCCAGAAGAUUUCCUGAAUGGGAUCAAGGGAAGGGGGAGACAGAGCUCCAGGAAUUUCAGGCAAAGCUGGGAAUGAGCUGGAGGGGGAAGGGGGAUCCCAAAUCCCUCCGGAAAUCCCAAACCUGCCCAGCUCCGGCCAAUCCCGACCUUUCCCCCCAGAAUUUCCCACCCAUUUUUCCUGGGAUAAAUCCCCACUCUCCCAGGCUCCCAUCUCCCUUUCCCAGGGGGAAGAAAAGUGGGAAUUCCAGCAGGAAGUGCCAAUUCUUUAAUGGAACAACAUUCCCGAGCCUCAGGAACCCCGGGAUCCGCCCUCCUCUCCUGGAACCCCCGGAAUUCCUCCCGGAGAUUCCUCAAAUCCGGCUCCUCCCGGAGUUCUCCAGCUGGAAAUCCCAAACCAAACCAAAAUCCCGGGAAUUCCGCUUGUCCUUCCCCUCCCCCCACCCCCCCAACACUGCAUUCCAGGAAUUCCAAAGUCGCUUCCAUAAAAAAACCAACCAACCAAAACAAAACAAAAAAAAUUGGGAAAAACGGAGGCAGAGCCAAAGUUCUGGAUUGAAUUCCAGUCCCAAAUUCCGGGAAUUCCGACCGGAGCUGUGUCCUGCUCCUCCCGAGCUUCUGGAGGAGUUUUGGCCCUUCCCAGCCCAGAAUUCCGAGGGUGGAUCCGGGAUUUUCUGGGAAAAGGGGCGGCAGGAACCCUCCCAGAGUCAGAGCUGGGAAUUGAUCCUGGAAAUCUCCUGGAAAAAUCCCUGUGGGCUUCCCAGCAAGGGGAGGGAGAAAGGCCCCGAAUUCCGGGAUUCCUGCGGGAAUCAGCUCCUCAUGGAAAAGCAGCUGGAAUUUUGGGAUCAUCCAGUCCUUUCCCAAAGUUCUCCAUGGAUCCUGAGCCUCUGGAUGGUCCCGGAAAGGCGGCUGGGAAUUGUCUCAGUCCCGAGGAUUUGGGAAGCAUGGGAUGGGCUCUGCAUUCCCGGAAUUCCAGCCUGGAUUCUUCCAUCCUGGAUUCCUGAAUUCCAUCCUGGAUUCUUCCAGCCCAGAUCCUGA